rnacentral:lncRNA from 1 species
UUACCCCAAGCACAGAACGUUGAUUCUUUCCUCAAGACCACAACGAGACUAAAUAAAGAGCUGUUGUUCUUCAACAUCCUUGACAUCAAGACCACAAUUCCAAUAACCACAGCGAUGCAAUACAAGAACAGCACCAAAGGCCAGUAUCAUGACAGGACUUUUACCAUCAGAGCAACGCAGAAACAUGGAUCCCAAAUAUUACUCAGACAAAAUAACGCAAUCCACUGAAGCUCCCAAGGAACCGGUUACAAGCCAAAUCCAGGUAGGAACAUUGGUAAACCAAGCACUAGUCAGCAUGGAUAACAAAAGCAUUAAACUUCUCAUAAAGAGUACAACAGCAAACCAUUUGCUGCCUUAUGUGAUAAAGCAAACAUACCACUAGUAUUAUCCAAUACCUUUCAUACCUGAGACAGAAUCUCCACCAUCAAGAUCAGUAUUCAUCUCGGCUGCGACGAUCAUACGGUCCAGACCUGUCACGGCUGUAUCGAUCACCGCCACCACUGCUGCGGCUUCCUCCAUCACGACUUCCAGAAUAGCGAUCACCACCACGGUCAGGCCCAUAGCGACUGCUGCCGUUGCUACCACCAUACUUGUCAUCCCUUCCACCAUCCCUGCCACCAUACCUGUCAUC